rnacentral:rRNA from 1 species
UGAGGAAUAUUGGUCAAUGGGCGGGGAGCCUGAACCAGCCAAGUCGCGUGAGGGAAGACGGUCCUAUGGAUUGUAAACCUCUUUUGUCGGGGAGCAAAGAGGCCACGUGUGGUCAAAAGCGAGAGUACCCGAAGAAAAAGCAUCGGCUAACUCCGUGCCAA